CUGAUUUUAAGGUUUCCAAUUCCGAGAUGCUAAAAACAUCAAGUACUUUCUGCGAUACAGGUCCAAAAUCCUCAUUCAGAUGUAAGUAUACAGCUGCAGUCUAGGGCCAAAGGUAAAUACUUUUAGAUUACCCUCUCAAACAGAGUUGACCAAGCUUUUCAAACUUUCAUGCAAUUGAUCAUACUAUUAAAAUUAAGUAUCCCUCCUCUAAAUACUCUGAAUCCCAGAUUUUGUUUCUGGAAUUAAAUCACCCAAAAGACACCCACAUGGAUUUGAAAAUGCCUGUAACAGCCACCAAGGGCUCAUGCUGAAAAACCGGGGUUUCAUUUUUCUUAUUCAAGAGGGAGAACCAAAACAGUUUCUUUUGGCAGAUUUUGCUUUAGCUCAUCAACUGGAGAACCUGAUGUUUUGCCAAAGAAAUAUGCAAAUGGAUGCUUGAUUAAAUAAGAUGAAAACUUUGUUGCUGAGAUAUGGCUUUUCUUCCCAUUUCUAACUCCAUUCAUUUCAUGCUCGCUGAAGCAAGCCUAACUAAGCCCUCCAUGACUUUCGGUGGGACAGUAACCCUCCGCGUCUACAUAAACCCUGCUCGUGCUGUGGGUUCCCUAUGCGUCCAAGACAGGUGGACCUUCCAUCAUCCUCUGAAAUAACUGUUUCCUACAUGAGACGCUUUUCCUCCCACUUCUUCUCUACAACCUGUAGAUUUAAGUGAAAUUAAUUACUGAACAGGUCAUCAAUCAUUAUCUGUGGACACAAGGAAACAGGUAAAUCACGGCAUUAUGAAACUCCAAAACUUAUCCAUUAACUCCAGGUAAGUAGAUGGUCAAACCCUUCUCAGAUGAUUGUUAAUUAAAAUAUUUAUGGAGGAUAGAUCUUUAGUUUACCUGUUCAACUUAUUUUCAGGCUUUAGAGGGA
rnacentral:lncRNA from 1 species